AAAAAAUAAAUUUAUAUAAAAAAUGUGAUCUAUUUUCUAAAUGAAUUGUUUCUCAGGCAAGCAUUUUUCAGCUCAGGCCCGAUUCGGCAUAGCCCAAAAUUUUUUUACCUAAUUUUUAUUAACACAAGUCUAUUCAAAAUUCUAAUACUCUAUAGCUCACGGCCUCACCUAGUUGCCCUCCCCUCCACUAAUUCUCAAUCCCAAAUCAGUUCCUAAAAACAAAAUUCCCAAGUGUCGCCUGCUGCUCACCAAUCACCACCACCGCUAUCCAGCGUCGCUCACCAAUCACCACCACCGCUGUCCAGCGUCACUCACCACUCACUAGUCACCACCUCCACCUGUCCACUCACCAGUCUCCCGCUUCCUCUGUCGUCGAUUGCUUGUUCUUCCAUCAAGAUUCAAGACACUGUCGUCGUCCUGUUGCUUCCUCUAUCACCGGUCGCUCGUUCUUCCAUCAAGAUUCAUAACACUAUCGUUGUCUCACUGCUUCAUCUAUUGUUGGCGUUCACCACUGCCGUCGCCUUCCCCGCUCUAGUCUUCAGCCGUCGUUGUCCCGCCAAUUUCUCCACCGACCAUCACCAUCAUCGUUCCAUAGGCAGUUAGACACUAUAUUUUUGCAGCUCACUCUUUAAUAGAAAGACUAAAAAAAGCAUAAAAAUUUAAGUUUCAUAAUCAAAUUUCACCACUGGUUUACUCAAUUCCCUGAUCUCCUAUUAACAACAACAAUGGUUUGCUCAAUAAUUGUUUAUUUUGGGUUAGAUUGCAUCGAGUUGAAAUUUUUAUAGUGUAGAACACUUCUUUUGUUCCCCUCUUUCUUUUUGCGGUUAUGUAUAUGUAUAACAUAUACAAUAUGAGAUAAAAGAAUGCUAAGUAUGGAUACAUUUAUUAUAGUAUCAUACUAUAGGCUUUAAUAAGAGUUGAGUCGGUC
rnacentral:lncRNA from 1 species